AUACGUAGGGUGCGAGCGUUGUCCGGAAUUACUGGGCGUAAAGAGCUCGUAGGUGGUUUGUCGCGUCGUCUGUGAAAUUCCGGGGCUUAACUCCGGGCGUGCAGGCGAUACGGGCAUAACUUGAGUACUGUAGGGGAGACUGGAAUUCCUGGUGUAGCGGUGAAAUGCGCAGAUAUCAGGAGGAACACCGGUGGCGAAGGCGGGUCGCGGGGCAGUAACUGACGCUGAGGAGCGAAAGCAUGGGUAGCGAACAGGAUUAGAUACCCUGGUAGUCCAUGCCGUAAACGGUGGGCGCUAAGUGUAGGGGUCUUCCACGACUUCUGUGCCGUAGCUAACGCAUUAAGCGCCCCGCCUGGGGAGUACGGCCGCAAGGCUAAAACUCAAAGGAAUUGACGGGG
rnacentral:rRNA from 1 species